rnacentral:rRNA from 1 species
GAUGAACGCUGGCGGCGUGCCUAAUACAUGCAAGUCGAGCGAACAGACGAGGAGCUUGCUCCUCUGACGUUAGCGGCGGACGGGUGAGUAACACGUGGAUAACCUACCUAUAAGACUGGGAUAACUUCGGGAAACCGGAGCUAAUACCGGAUAAUAUAUUGAACCGCAUGGUUCAAUAGUGAAAGACGGUUUUGCUGUCACUUAUAGAUGGAUCCGCGCCGCAUUAGCUAGUUGGUAAGGUAACGGCUUACCAAGGCGACGAUGCGUAGCCGACCUGAGAGGGUGAUCGGCCACAUUGGAACUGAGCCACGGUCCAGACUCCUACGGGAGGCAGCAGUAGGGAAUGUUCCGCAAUGGGCGAAAGCCUGACGGAGCAACGCCGCGUGAGUGAUGAAGGUCUUCGGAUCGUAAAACUCUGUAAUGAGGGAAGAACAAAUGUGUAAGUAACUAUGCACGUCUUGACGGUACCUAAUCAGAAAGCCACGGCUAACUACGUG